rnacentral:rRNA from 1 species
GAGCGGAACGAUCCUAGCUUGNUAGGAGGCGUCGAGCGGCGGACGGGUGAGUAAUGCAUAGGAAUCUGCCCGGUAGUGGGGGAUAACUUGAGGAAACUCAAGCUAAUACCGCAUACGCCCUACGGGGGAAAGCAGGGGCUCUUCGGACCUUGCGCUAUCGGAUGAGCUUAUGUCGGAUUAGCUGGUUGGUGAGGUAACGGCUCACCAAGGCGACGAUCCGUAGCUGGNCUGAGAGGAUGAUCAGCCACAUCGGGACUGAGACACGGCCCGAACUCCUACNGGAGGCAGCANUGGGGAAUAUUGGACAAUGGGGGCAACCCUGAUCCAGCCAUGCCGCGUGUGUGAAGAAGGCCCUCGGGUUGUAAAGCACUUUCAGCGAGGAAGAAUGCUUGUCGGUUAAUACCNGGCAAGGGAGACAUCACUCGCAGAAGAAGCACCGGCUAACUCCGUGNCAGCANCCGCGGUAAUACGGAGGGUGCGAGCGUUAAUCGGAAUUACUGGGCGUAAAGCGUGCGUAGGCGGCUUGAUAAGNCGGUUGUGAAAGCCCCGGGCUCAACCUGGGAACGGCAUCCGGAACUGUUAGGCUAGAGUGCAGGAGAGGAAGGUAGAAUUCCCGGUGUAGCGGUGAAAUGCGUAGAGAUCGGGAGGANUACCAGUGGCGAAGGCGGCCUUCUGGACUGACACUGACGCUGAGGUACNAAAGCGUGGGUAGCAAACAGGAUUAGAUACCCUGGUAGUCCNCGCCGUAACGAUGUCGACUAGCCGUUGGGGGUCCUCGAGACCUUUGUGGCGCAGUUAACGCACUAAGUCGACCGCCUGGGGAGUACGGCCGCAAGGUUAAAACUCAAAUGAAUUGACGGGGGNCCGCACAAGCGGUGGAGCAUGUGGU